ACGGAAGGCAGCAGUGGGGAAUAUUGCACAAUGGGGGAAACCCUGAUGCAGCGACGCCGCGUGAAGGAAGAAGUAUCUCGGUAUGUAAACUUCUAUCAGCAGGGAAGAAAGUGACGGUACCUGACUAAGAAGCCCCGGCUAACUACGUGCCAGCAGCCGCGGUAAUACGUAGGGGGCAAGCGUUAUCCGGAUUUACUGGGUGUAAAGGGAGCGUAGACGGCAAGACAAGUCUGAAGUGAAAGGCAUGGGCUCAACCUGUGGACUGCUUUGGAAACUGCCUUGCUUGAGUGCCGGAGGGGUAAGCGGAAUUCCUAGUGUAGCGGUGAAAUGCGUAGGUAUUAGGAGGAACACCAGUGGCGAAGGCGGCUUACUGGACGGUAACUGACGUUGAGGCUCGAAAGCGUGGGGAGCAAACAGGAUUAGAUACCCUGGUA
rnacentral:rRNA from 1 species